GCUGGAAUUGUAUGAUUGUGAAGACAUCGCGAACCUUAAAGGUUGAGAAGUGAACGGAUUAUACGGCGAACUGAGACGACGUGAAAAAGGGGAUUGGAAGCGGCAUUGAUGUGAGUACUAAGAGCCAGUCGAAAGUGCCCUGUAUAUUGACCUGGCGUUGUGUAGAUCUCUCCAGGAGGAGGAGGGCGGCCCUACCCCUAAUAUAGCGUGGUGGGAGAGCCGAAGGAAUACUUAUUGAAGUAGUCACAACGACGACAUCACUAGCUAGGCCGCAUAUUCCAUCGCCAGAUCCGAACCAAGCGAAGUGAAGGAAGACGGGUGUCCUUUUCGUACACUGAGUGUGGUGGGUGAGUCUUCAUGCUGUGAAAACCUAUAAUUUUGACGUGGUGCUGUAUAUUGCUGUGGGCUGCUGUGUAUUGCCGUGUGUCCUGUCAGAUAAACCCCCGCCUUCACGCACUUCGUCGCGGGAGGACAAGGAGACUGCUGGUCCUAGCCUAGUUCAGUACAGUAUAUGUUGUGAGCGUGCUUCAGAUCUCCGGAGAUAGCACAGUACGCUGUGUCCAGCCCAGAGGUGAGAGCCAUUCAAAGCAAACUAACUGUGCUUUGCGUCCAAGUUGAUACCUGUGGAGGAAAGGAAAGAGAGAGUGAGUAACACAAGGAGAAACAGAGGAAACCUGUACUUACAGUACGCUGUGUUCAGCCCAGAGGUGAGAGCCAUUCAAAGCAAACUAACUGUGCUUUUGUGCCCAAGUUGAUGCCUGUGGAGAGAAAAGGAGAGAGAGUGGGUAACACGAGGAGAGACCGAGGAAACCUGUACUUACGCCGUUGCCUGUGGAGGAAGAGAAAGAGACCGUUGCCUGUGGAGGAAGAGAAAGAGAGUGAGCACCCCGAGAACGAACUGUGUGAACCAGUACUUACCGUGAGCUGUAUUCAGCGAAGAGGAGGAAGAAGGAGGGCGCUACGGAUACCUAAGACUCAGGCCGGGGCCCGAGUCCCACGCCCCGGAUCCCCGUGGCCCCCUUGCUCCCUGACCUCUUCCCGGCCAUAGCCCAUCUGGAGGGCCGAGUCAGAGUUUAGUUUUAAUUGCCCUUUCCCUAUUCCCCAAGCUAUUUUUAAAUAUUUAAAUAAAGAUUGUUUUAUCACUUACUUGUUCUCGUGUUGUUUGGCCAUUGGGUUGGCUUUGGGGACCUCCUCGAGGUGGAAGUUGAGAAGGGGUGUGGCUUAGUCAAAGCAUAGCCAGCCCCUGGGUGUGACAUCCUGACCCAAUGAAGCUGAUAUAAUCACAACAGAUCCCCUAUACGAUGGUGGUAAAAUGGAAAAAAGGGAAUCACUCUCAUGUUCUUCUUUUUACCACUAAUAUAGAUUAUGCACAAAAAACAAAAAAACAAAAACACUUAUUCUGAGCAGUACUUAUUAAAAAAUAAAAAUAAAAUGGUAGUGAUCAUACUAAAUUAUAUUAUGUUUAGUGAUUAAAAACCUAAAAAGUGGGAUAAAUGUGUAAAGCCUAGAAGGAAAGUGGCAAAGUUUGGUAAAGAUAUAAAAUGACAGUUCAUUAGAUUUGGGGAUAUGCUGUGAUCCUUAAAUAGAGUCUUUCAAUGAAAUCUAAUGAUUAUUGUUCUAAAUAUGCCUGACAAGUUAUUUUGGUAUAUGAACUAUUGAUACACUGAAUGACAUUUUAGUGGAUUCCCUCUAUAAAUCAUGGUAAAAAUGUAUGAUAGUCAUUAUUAUUAUUAUUAUUAUUAUUAUUAUUAUGCAUAUAUAAAACAAUGUGUUUAAUUUUUUUUUAAAUGAAGUUGUAUUUAAAGUCAAAAUUUUAUGCUGUAUUAUACUUUUAAACUUUUAGUGUUUUGAUGCUUGAAAAGCCCUGCUUCUCUUUGAACCAUCAUGUAUAAUGUUUAUUUAUUAAAUUGUAUUAUUUUAUAUUACUUAUAUGAGACCACAUACCCUCUAUUUAUUUAAAGUUAUCUCUAAGUGUCCUUCUAUCAGAAAUGGAAAACAAAUAUUUACUUGACCUCUGGAUGAACUCUGGCAUGUUAUGUAGAAAGUGUGUUGUUUGUUCAUUUGAAAUGCAUGAGAACUGCUUUGGUGGUGCCAUUGGCAGUAAUCUGUCGCGUUUCCCUUUGCGCGUGUUCAAAGGCUUCCGUCAGACGAGCCAUGGGGUACUGUCUGAGACGCCUUUAUAUCUACUGAUUUUUACGCUUUGGAGAUGAAAGGUCUUCAUUAGAGGAAAAACAAAAUGAUAAGUAUAAUUAUAGAGACAGUUGCCCAACAGAAGAGGGGAAUGGAAAAGAGAAUACGGGCUGUUGAUGGUGAUUGCACUCCAGUCUUAAACUCCAGAACGUGGAUGUAAGAAGAUGUAGGCGUGAAAUUUGUAUUCCGAAUCAACUCUUUAUGAAUAAUUAAAUUUGGUUAUGUUUAUGACCCACACACCAAGCUUAUCAUGCUUAUCUGUACUGUGUGUUUAUCUGGAAAAAAACAUUUAAUUAAAGCCAUAUAUUGUGUUUAGAUAACCGUAAUUAUCACACAAAGUGUUGUUUUAACUUACCUCAAAAGUAUACUUUAUAAAAGCCUUUAAAACAGUACUGUACAUUUGUACUGCAAGCGUUACAAUCUUCACUUCCUAAGCAAUAAUCUCAGUAGCUUCAAGGCUGGGGUCAUAGAGAGUGCUGCCAAAAUGCUGUUUCCCAGAUUAAAAGCAAAAAUAUCCUGGUUUAAAUUAACACACUUUUUUUAAGUGCUUCUAAACAGAUGCCAGGCUUACCACAGCUUCAUUUCAGCUCUCUGAAUCAUUUUAACAUGCAUCUGACCCAGUUGGGUAGCAGAAAGAAAAUAGCAUAAUCCCCCUCCCCCUUCAUUAUCUCAGGAGAUAAGGUGUUAUGCUCAAGGGUCUUUCUGCAGAUAUGCUUUCCCCCUCAAUAACACCUUUCCAGUGUUUCAAUUAUGAACAUGUCCACUCUUGAUUGACUAGUUAGAGGGGAAAUAUGAUUUUCACAUUACUGAGUGAUUGGGCAGAUCUAUUGAUUUCUGGCAUUUUCCUGAAGAUAACAUUUUUGCAAAGGCAUCCUGGGUUUUUUGAUGAGUUUUGUACCAACUUAUGUGUUAUAUUCAGUACUUAGACAUUCGUCCUUAAUUAGCACCAUUAGUUUUCCGCCUAAAAAUGCUGACUGAUUGAAAAGAUUGACCUGCUUGUAGCCUGCCUGCAUAAAUGACCUCAUAUUUCCAUUUUUCACCAAACAAGCAGCCAUUCAGGUCAAGCUCACAAAAAUAACAUUCCCCAUUAAGCAGCACACUUAUCUUGUAUUUAUUACGAAUAUUAUGUCUUUUCUGUCCUCUAACCUAACACAAAUAUAUUUCGUACAAAAACAAGCAGAAAUCGCUCACUCACUUGCCCCCUUCAGAUCUCACGUCAUCUCCAGCCCUCCUAUCGCUCUCAGAGAGGCUUCUGGGGAGCGGAAGUGAUUAAGAACAGAGUGCCACUCCAACUGCUAUUCUGAGUCUUUCUAUCAGUAAUAACGGUAAAGACUAACACAUAAAGAGUGCUCUCCAGAUGGCAGCCAUUCUCUGGAUAUUUAAAGUGAAUUUGUAUUAUAAAUGGGUGCUUUUGGCAGGUAAACCACUGAAUGCUGUAAAUUACUGGCAAAUAAAAUGGAGCAUUUCAUAUUUCAGCAGGCAAACUGAAUAGGAAUGUGUGGAAUUGUACAGUUUCAAUGUAAAGUUCACUGAAAGUUCAAUGAGUGGUGAGCAGUGUGCUAUUAUGCUUGGUUACUUUUCCAUAUAUAUAUAUAUACUCACACACACACACACACACACACACACACACACACACACACACACACACACACACACACACACACACACACACACACACAUAUAUAUAUAUAUAUAUAUAUAUAUAUAUAUAUAUAUAUAUAUAUAUAUCCUAGGGCUAUUCAGUGUAUUAUUUUAUAUAACAAUAUAUUAUAAUAAAUAACAACAAUAUAAAAUAAUUAUUCCGGACAUCGUUAUUCAUUUUUCAUAGUUUUGAUUUGUAAUACAUCAUCUUGUCUGACGGUUGCAUAUAUGGCCUAACCACAAAAGUUCAUAUGCUAAAACAUUUCUGAAGCUCAGAUUGGAUCAAUGAUUUGUACAUACACAUAUGAUCAGAAUUCCAUGCAGCUCUGUGCUACUCUCCAUUGGAAAUGUAUGUUGUCCAGUCUGUCAUUUGCCAAAGAUACUGAAAAGGUGGUUUAACUUUGAGACUUAUCAGUAUGGUUGUUGCAACCUUAUAUGUCAAGUUAAGGAUACACAUUAUGCACUUUGUCAGUAGUAUUGUACUACUGUCUGUAUAAACACCCAUUAAAAAAUAAAAACAAAUAAUGAAACCAUUAGGGACCCAGAAUCACACAAUGACCUUAUAUGGCUAACCUGGUGCCUUAAUAUACUACUACUACUACUACUACUACUACUACUACUACUACUACUACUAACAGCUCUCUAUACAAAGGUAAAGAUGCAUUUGGUCAUGCAGAAUGAAGUGGUACUCAUAUAUAUAUAUAUAUACAACACAAACUUAGCACAAAAAAACUUUGCAUAAACACAUGUGCGCUUAUCACAUUUGGAGCAACGAGGCUGAAGUGAGAUUGGGUUCACAGCUGAUGAUCGGCCUGAGAGACUCCUCACACUGAUCCACCAGGAGAAUAAUUAGUCGAGCAAAGAGAGUGUACAAUUGACUGGAGCGAAAUUAUUUCAUUAGCUGUAUUGAACCCAUUCAUUGUCCCCGUAGACUACAUCUGAAUUGAGGAGACAGAAAGAGUCAGUGGGAGAGAAAAUCAAGUUGCUAAGCUGUCUGUCUGACUGACUGGAAUUUUAAGGCAUUCAAUCUAAUUCCAUACUGCCAGGUAUCAAAAGGCAUUGGCAAAGGUACAGCCUGAUUACUAAUUCUCUCAAGGUCUGUCCUUCAGAAUCAUGGAAGUGCAGUCUGACAUGUUUGUUCAGCUUGAGUACAAUGUAAAGAGGUGCUGGCUGUAUUGCUGUUGCUUAUAAACAUAAUGCUUUUGCCUUCAGGGUUUAAAGGAUAAGUUCACUGAUUUUCAACCAACUUUGUAUUGUUACAAUGUCAGUAGUUUAUGUAAAUGAACAAUGUGUACUCUUUCUCCAUGUUACUGUAUCUGCACCCAGAUAUCCCUGUUUAUUUUGCAGCAAAAGUCUACCAAAUGAUAUAGUGGACUUUUGACAGAUCCAGGGCUUUUUUACAUUACAAGCUUCUGCAUUUUUAUAUUCUUGCCCACAGACAGUCAGGUUGACAGAGAGGCAUCACCAAAAUCUCUUUUUUGCCCUCUUUUUGAUGACACUUUAUUUUAAGGUGUCCUUGUUACGGUGUACUUACUACUGUAUAUGGUUAGGGUUAGGGUCACUUGCACUUUUUUACUUAAACGCUAUUGGAGAAAGUGGACCUCAUUGCCAACAAGUAAAUAACAAGGAUAGGAAAAAAUAAUAAUAUUUGCAAGGACAUUUGUAUAUAUGUUAAGGGCAACAUCAUGCAAAAAACACAUUUUAAAAAAUUGUCAUAACAUUACUCUGAAUGCUUUAGAUUCAAGCAUUAGAGUCAAAAUAUU
ensembl:lncRNA